CGGUCGUUAGCUCAGUUGGUAGAGCAGUUGGCUUUUAACCAAUUGGUCGUAGGUUCGAAUCCCACACGACCCACCA
rnacentral:tRNA from 1 species